rnacentral:rRNA from 1 species
GGGGCCAAAANGUGACCAGGNUGGUUGNCAUGGGUUGUNCGUUCAAGCUUUNGGUGUUCGUGAAGGAUGGUUGGGGUUUAANGUUCCCNGCAAACGAAGGNGCAANCCCUUGAUUCUUANGGUUGCCCAGCAUUUCAAGGUUGGGGCACUCUAAGGUGACUGCCGGUGGACAAAACCGGAGGAAGGUGGGGAUGGACGUCAAAUCAUCAUGCCCCUUAUGACCUGGGCUACACACGUGCUACAAUGGGCAGAACAAAGGGCAGCGAAGCCGCGAGGCUAAGCCAAUCCCACAAAUCUGUUCUCAGUUCGGAUCGCAGUCUGCAACUCGACUGCGUGAAGCUGGAAUCGCUAGUAAUCGCGGAUCAGCAUGCCGCGGUGAAUACGUUCCCGGGCCUUGUACACACCGCCCGUCACACCACGAGAGUUUGUAACACCCGAAGUCGGUGAGGUAACCUUUUGGAGCCAGCCGCCGAAGGAAAAGCAGAUGAUUGGGGUGAAGUCGUAACGAUG